AUUGAACGCUGGCGGCAGGCUUAACACAUGCAAGUCGAGCGCGCGGCGGUCGGGUGAGUAAUGUCUGGGAAACUGCCUGAUGGAGGGGGAUAACUACUGGAAACGGUAGCUAAUACCGCAUCCCAUCAGAUGUGCCCAGAUGGGAUUAGCUCGUAGGGGGGGUAAUGGCUCACCUAGGCGACUAUCCCUAGCUGGUCUGAGAGGAUGACCAGCCACACUGGUACUGAGACACGGCCCAGACUCCUACUCGAGGCAGCAGUGGGGAAUAUUGCACAAUGUGCGCAAGCCUGCUGCAUCCCUCCCGCGGGUGUGAAGAAGGCAUUCGGGUUGUAAAGGACUUUCAGUGGGGAGGCGUUACUCGCAGAAGAAGCACCGGCUAACUCCGUGCCAGCAGCCGCGGUAAUUC
rnacentral:rRNA from 1 species